rnacentral:rRNA from 1 species
GACGUAGGGCGCGAGCGUUGUCCGGAUUUAUUGGGCGUAAAGAGCUCGUAGGCGGCUUGUCACGUCGGGUGUGAAAGACCGGGGCUUAACUCCGGUUCUGCAUUCGAUACGGGCUAGCUAGAGUGUGGUAGGGGAGAUCGGAAUUCCUGGUGUAGCGGUGAAAUGCGCAGAUAUCAGGAGGAACACCGGUGGCGAAGGCGGUUCUCUGGGCAUGAUCUGACGCUGAGGCACGAAAGCGUGGGGAUCAAACAGG